GCCGGCGUGGCGCAAUGGUAGCGCGUAGCUUUCCUAAUGCUUAUAUAAGCAGGCUAAGGCUGAAGUUGCGGGUUCGAUCCCCGUCGUCGGUU
rnacentral:tRNA from 1 species